CAGUAGCCGCGGUAAUACAGAGGGUGCAAGCGUUAAUCGGAAUUACUGGGCGUAAAGCGCGCGUAGGUGGUUUGUUAAGUUGGAUGUGAAAGCCCCGGGCUCAACCUGGGAACUGCAUCCAAAACUGGCAAGCUAGAGUACGGUAGAGGGUGGUGGAAUUUCCUGUGUAGCGGUGAAAUGCGUAGAUAUAGGAAGGAACACCAGUGGCGAAGGCGACCACCUGGACUGAUACUGACACUGAGGUGCGAAAGCGUGGGGAGCAAACAGGAUUAGAUACCCGCGUAGUCCAUGUCUCUUAUAC
rnacentral:rRNA from 1 species